rnacentral:rRNA from 1 species
GCUCAAAUUUGAAAUCUAGCACCUUCGGUGUUCGAGUUGUAAUUUGAAGAUGGUAACCUUGGGUUUGGCUCUUGUCUAUGUUCCUUGGAACAGGACGUCAUAGAGGGUGAGAAUCCCGUCUGAUGAGAUGCCCAUUCCUAUGUAAGGUGCUAUCGAAGAGUCGAGUUGUUUGGGAAUGCAGCUCUAAGUGGGUGGUAAAUUCCAUCUAAAGCUAAAUAUUGGCGAGAGACCGAUAGCGAACAAGUACAGUGAUGGAAAGAUGAAAAGAACUUUGAAAAGAGAGUGAAAAAGUACGUGAAAUUGUUGAAAGGGAAGGGCAUUAGAUCAGACUUGGUGUUUUACGAUUAUCUUCUCUUCUUGAGUUGUGCACUCGUAUUUCACUGGGCCAGCAUCGAUUCGGAUGGCAAGAUAAUGGCAGUUGAAUGUGGCUUCACUUCGGUGGAGUGUUAUAGCUUCUGCUGAUAUUGCCUGUCUGGAUCGAGGGCUGCGUCUUUUGACUAGGAUGCUGGCGUAAUGAUCUAAUGCCGCCCGUCUUGAAACACGGACC